AAGGCGACGAUCAGUAGCUGGUCUGAGAGGAUGAUCAGCCACACUGGAACUGAGACACGGUCCAAACUCCUACGGGAGGCAGCAGUGGGGAAUUUUCCGCAAUGGGCGAAAGCCUGACGGAGCAAUACCGCGUGAGGGAGGAAGGCUCUUGGGUUGUAAACCUCUUUUCUCAGGGAAUAAGCAAGUGAAGGUACCUGAGGAAUCAGCAUCGGCUAACUCCGUGCCAGCAGCCGCGGUAAUACGGAGGAUGCAAGCGUUAUCCGGAAUGAUUGGGCGUAAAGCGUCCGUAGGUAGCAGUGUGUGUCUAUUGUUAAAGAGUUUGGCUUAACCAAAUAAAGGCGGUAGAAACUACACAGCUAGAGUGCGUUCGGGGCAGAGGGAAUUCCUGGUGUAGCGGUGAAAUGCGUAGAGAUCAGGAAAAACACCGGUGGCGAAAGCGCUCUGCUAGGCCGCAACUGACACUGAGGGACGAAAGCUAGGGGAGCGAAUGGGAUUAGA
rnacentral:rRNA from 1 species